UUCAGGGCUCAGAGGUAGAGCACUCGCCUAGCAUGUGUGAGGCCCUGGGUUCGAUUCUUAGCACCACAGAAA
rnacentral:tRNA from 1 species